rnacentral:tRNA from 1 species
GUAGAUAUAGUUUAAUUAAAACGUUAGAUUGUGAUUCUAGUAAUAAAGGUUAAAGCCCAUUUAUUUACC